rnacentral:rRNA from 1 species
UACGUAGGUCCCGAGCGUUGUCCGGAUUUAUUGGGCGUAAAGCGAGCGCAGGUGGUUUAUUAAGUCUGGUGUAAAAGGCAGUGGCUCAACCAUUGUAUGCAUUGGAGACUGGUAGACUUGAGUGCAGGAGAGGAGAGUGGAAUUCCAUGUGUAGCGGUGAAAUGCGUAGAUAUACGGAGGAACACCGGUGGCGAAAGCGGCUCUCUGGCCUGUAACUGACACUGAGGCUCGAAAGCGUGGGGAGCAAACAGG